GACGAACGCUGGCGGCGUGCUUAACACAUGCAAGUCGAACGGAAAGGCCCUGCUUUUGUGGGGUGCUCGAGUGGCGAACGGGUGAGUAACACGUGAGUAACCUGCCCUUGUCUUUGGGAUAACUCCAGGAAACUGGGGCUAAUACCGGAUAGGAGCUCCUGCUGCACGGUGGGGGAUGGAAAGUUUCGGCGGUUGGGGAUGGACUCGCGGCUUAUCCGCUUGUUGGUGGGGUAGUGGCUUACCAAGGCUUUGACGGGUAGCCGGCCUGGGAGGGUGACCGGGCACAUUGGGGCUGAGAUACGGCGCAGGCUGCUACGGGAGGCAGCGGUGGGGAAUAUUGCGCAGUGGGCGGAAGCCUGAUGCAGCAACGCCGCGUGCGGGAUGACGGCCUUCGGGUUGUAAACCGCUUUCGCCGGUGACGAAGCGUGAGUGACGGUAAUGGGUAAAGAAGCACCGGCUAACUACGUG
rnacentral:rRNA from 1 species